AUGAUCGCGACAGUGCUUGUCCUCAUCCUGCUGCAGACGAGAGCCUCAGCAUCAGAGGUAAUGGUCCACCAAACGCCGCCAGUCAUCCUCAAGGCACUCGGUGAAGACACCAAUGAAAUGAGCUGCUCUCACAGCAUCACAGAUUACGACGUCAUUCUCUGGUACAAACAAAAUCCAAGUGGCACCAUGGAGUUCUUGGGCUUCAUCACUCAGGUCUUCGCCAUGCCCGAGGAUCACCUGAAAGGGAAGGUGCAGUUUACCGGAGAUGCCCGCCAUCAGUCCAAGUUGAUCAUCAACAACUUGACCUUAAACGACAAUGCGGUGUACCUCUGCGCAGUUACCACGGUGCUGCAGAUUGGCCCUUCAGCCGUCACAAAACAGGCAACCCGCACUUAUCAGGGUUAA